UCAGGAAUGCCAACUCUCUAAGUGACAUUUUACAUAUCUUGGAUGCCACAUCCAAAGUCAUGCUCCUCUACAAACUGUGUUACUGAACUCCUGACCAACUGACAUUUGGGAUUUAAGUUGAGUUUUGGAUUUUUUUUACUCCUUUUAAAACCAGGCAUUGGUAUAUAAGAGGAGAAGGAAAUGGUUUUUAUUUUAUCAGUGAGCUUUUUUUAAAGUUUUAAUUAAAAGCUUACUUUUUUGUAAUGAUUGACUCUUGUUAUGUUCAUUUUAGAAAAUAAAUGCAAUGUUAGGAUUUUUUUUCUUAAUAUAAUCAGGAUUUGUGUUUGUACCUACAUGUACAUGCUGUAGGUAUAUUUUUGAAUAAAUAUAGAUACCUUAUUUAUACUAGUGUAGGGAUAUUUUGAUAUACAUGUAUUGAUAGCAAUUUUUAUGUAUCUACAUGUUUGUAGCUGUGAUAUAUAUAUAGUUGUUUGGGUUUUUAGAUAAUUUAUUUGUUGUUAUUAGUAUUUAAUUAAAUCUUGAGAUUUUUUAAAAUUAUUUUAGUUUAUGAAUCUCUUUUCUCUUACGUAUUCAGUAUGUCAUGUUCAACUCUGAAUUUCACAUUUUGAAGCCAGUUAGAAAUACUGUACAGUGCUCUACAAAAAGUUCAGUUUUAGAUCUCUUGAUGUGACGUUUUUCAUUAUCUGUAUGAACAAAGGUUGCUAGUUUUAUGGAUGACUUCCAAAUUUGUAACCCCACCCGUAUUUUUAACACUUACUCGUUACCUCUGAAGGGUGUGUCUUUUUCAAAUAUCAUCGGCAAUAACCACAUUUUGUUUCUCGUAGUAAUAAAUUGCUUGUUAUUUUUC
rnacentral:misc_RNA from 1 species